rnacentral:lncRNA from 1 species
CUUCCUGAAAACAAGAUCAGAAAAAUAUCUGUUCAUUUGAAAAUCACGGCAGAAAAACGAAAAUGCAAACAAAAGCUUCCAAACUUUUAUUAAUUUUCAUUGUGUUGAUUAUAAUUACAAACUCUCAUGGUUAUGGCAUCUAUCGACGAUCAUUUGAUGAGACAACCAUAUUUAGUGGGCCGGUAGGCUACAGACCAAUAGAAUACCCAGUGGGCUGUUGUCCUGCGUUCGACUGCGACAUGUGGCGGUGUGUCUGUUGCCAAUAAACAACAUAAAUGAUGAUUCAAAAGUGGCCACAUAGACGGAAAAGCAACCAGUAAUAGGCAGAAAGAAGAAAAUCUUUUUUUAUAAUAGUGCUAGCCUGAAAGUAAUUUUUCAAUACUUACAAGUCUUAAAAUGUACAUUAUAGCAUUGUACAAAUUUGAAAACAUGCUGAAUGAAAUUGUAAAAACAACAGUCAUACAGCAGUCAUUCAUGUUUUGAUUGGCUUACCGUUCAGUGAUAUAUUCUGUUGUUUCAAAUCGAUCUUCUUACAUAUUUUAUUAACUAUCACAACAUCUGUCUUUAAGUGCCGUGUGGCGACCUUUCUUGGAUUCAGUUUUGUUAUUUUUGUGUGGUCCUUUUAUAUCUUAGAAUCCAUUUUUUCUAUGCAAUAAACUUCCACUUAAGCCGGUUUGAACUAUUGAACGAUUGAGGGGUAUUGCUCAUUACAUUACCUGUCAUGAACAGACUUAAUCAGACCGAGUCUGCUAUCAAUUUGCUUGGAUGCAUUCUGUGUUUCAAAAAGAUCUUCUUCUAAACUUAAAGUUUAUUUAUUCUGAUAUUGACUUAUAAUACAGUUGGAACGCUUCACUACGAUGUAACUAAAAAUCGACAUAUCAAUUAAGCUUGGUGCAGCGUAUGUUUGCUAAUGCCAUAUAUUUGAACAUGUUUAGUUGACAUAAGAGCAAGCCUUCAGCAAGGACGAAUACCCAAUAGAUAUCGCCACGUUCCAAGAAUGAAGACACCCUAAACGAAACCCUACAACAGUGCAUGUACGGUUUUGUGAUUCAGUAAAAAUACAGUUAAUUGAGCAUUUUAUGGCUG